rnacentral:lncRNA from 1 species
GUUAUUUUUUUUUUUUUUUUAACAUGGGAAAUGGGUGAUUAUAACUUUUUAGUUUAAAUACUCUAUUAAUCCAUGUAUAAGAAAAUUAUGUCACGAGUUUUUGUCUCCCGUACCCUUUAUGUUGCAUUCCCUUUUCCUUUGAUCAUUUAUAUAUGUAUAUAAUUUAAUUUCUUUUCUCUUCUUUUCUUUUAAUUUCAUCAUUUGCAUAUUCGUGACACUUUCAAGGAGUUAUUUUGGCUUUCGCAAUUAAUGCGGUUGGUUCAAUCAAACCCUUGAAUGAACAUUUUGUCCCUUUCAAUGUUUUUAUAAAUUUAGAUUUGCAUCCAUGUAGGAAACAUCCAAAUAUGAUAAAAUUAAGGGUUAGAUUAGGAAAAUUUUGACUAAACCUCGCAACUAGCUUAGAUUAGGUUGAAAGGGUGCCUUAGGUUUGAGUCAAUUGAACCUUUGCCUUCCCUUUCUUCAACCGUGACUCCCGAACCCAUUUCUCUUGUUUUCAAAGACCUGGAGUUGUCAAAAAGGGUUUUGAUUUAUUUUAUUUCUGUCAAAAAUAUUUUUCGGGUGACUUGGUACACCAAAACUCGAUACCAAGUGGUGACUCCUAUUUUUUCUAAAAAACCCUUUUUAGACUAAAUUUUUGGACCCAAAUUGUCGCAUUUUUUAAAGUCCCAUUUUAGGUCCCUUUUAACUUGUUUUAAAAUAAAAUCACAUCUUUUCUAAACCACCUUUAUCUUUCUUU